CGUGUAGGCGGUUACACAAGUCGGGUGUGAAAGCCCAGGGCUCAACCCUGGAAGUGCACUCGAAACUGUGCGACUAGAGGCUCGGAGAGGAAAGCGGAAUUCUGGGUGUAGAGGUGAAAUUCGUAGAUAUCCAGAGGAACACCGGUGGCGAAGGCGGCUUUCUGGACGAGUUCUGACGCUGAGACGCGAAAGCGUGGGAGCAAACA
rnacentral:rRNA from 1 species